rnacentral:lncRNA from 1 species
UAUUGGAGGUGAUCAGAUUUCUGUGUCUCUGUAGGUUUGCUUCCCACUAUGACCCUUCCGAAUCUGUGACACCCUCCCCCAGAGCUAUAGGAUUUCCAUGUUUGAAGCUUCAUGAAAGAUUUGGAUGUUCAGCUGGUGUGUGAUUAUCCCAUCACUUACACAUGAAAGCAGCUGGAGAGGUGUACGUCUCUGAAGAAACCCAUGUUUUUCCAAGCAUGGCCUGUUGCCAAUCCCAGGUCUGUAACCACUGAAAAAUGAACACGAUGAGAAUAUGAAAAAAACCCAGAGAUCAUCUGUGCUGGUCCGGUCCCUGUGUCCCUG